UAUAAAUGAGUCAGGUUUAGAAUUAUGCAAAUUAAGUUUGUAAUUAUGUUCUGAAUACUUUAUCAGAGUCUUUGUUACCUGAUGAAAAGUAGCCCGGCUAGCACCAUAAUUGAUUGAACAAAAUGAAGGCCAUCUUGUUUCUGCUAUGCCUUGGUUUGCUCUCAUCAACUGUAACUUCCCAGUAUUGGGGAAGAAGAACAUGGUAUGAUCCAUACUCAGCACUGUGUAAAACUGGAUUCUAUUUAAGAAAUCCCUAUACCCGAAGACCCUUCUUAUGUGAUGGAAAAUGGAGAGGAUGCCCAUGGCCAAGAUGGUUCAACUGCCAAUCCAUGACUAGUUCAGAUGAUGGAAUUGGAAUCUGUUGUUUUGAUAGAGGAGAUGUGUAAGACUAUCAAUGGAGUUCAUGUGUCUUGCUGUUAGACCUACCCGUUGAUGGUGUAAAUAGAUUUUGUAGUGGAAAAUGGUGUCUUUUAUAGACAGAAAUAUGCAUACUUCUUAAAAUUCAUUCACAAAUACAUCAUACAGAUAAGUGUCAAUAAAAAAGAUUUGAUUUGAAUAA